rnacentral:rRNA from 1 species
UGUGAUCAUACCAGCACUAAUGCACCGGAUCCUUCAAAACUUCGCAGUUAAGCGUGCUUUGGCGAGAGUAGUACUAGGAUGGGUGACCCCCUGGGAAGUCCUCGUGUUGCAC